AAGAGAAAAAAUACUGUCUGUCUUCUCUCACCAUUGUUGUCCCGAAUUAGAAAUUUGGUCAGGAGUAAGACUAGCUUGGUUAUGGUCAAUGUUAUCACAUUCUUCGCUACUUCUCUCUCUUUUCCACGUUGAAUGACUUACUGAUUUAUUUUCUCCACGUAUGCAAUGUUUGGCUCCUGCCUGGUGCACAAGAAGAUCUAGUUAUCAGAUCUCUUUUCCUCACUACCUUUGAAAAUUUUGAUUAUUACUUAAAUUGUAGUUCCCCUGACUUCUCUUUAGCUUGCUUUUCAAUUUAGACAACCAAUGGGCAAAUUUUAAUGUUUUGCCGUUCAGGAUAUAAUUUUUACACUCAGCCUAAUAGCUAAAUAAGCUUAGAAAUUUAGAAAAGGUAAAUUGGGCCACUUGGUACUUUUUCAUACAAGGAAAACAAAUUACUUGCGUGCUUGGGUGUUGCUUCUGGAGGAACUCGCGGGAGCAUUAAGCAGUCAGUACUGACUCUUAGAAUGACGUGAGUCUCUCCGCUCCUCUGAUGCCAACUUUCCAUCUUGCUGGGGUCGAAGAAGUCUGGGUCAGGGUGAAUAGGUACCAUCUUUGUUCUUAGAGGUGCGUGGUACGGGCCUUGUUCCUGAUGCACACAAGGGCUAUUUUAGUCAUUUGAACACAUCGGAAGAGUUUAGGUUAGAAUUUUAAAGAAACGUAUGAAUUCUCGUUCCCUUCAAAUCUCAAUUCUCCUCCAUGAUAUAAAAUGAUCUUCUUUAAAAAGAUCAUAAAAUGAUCCCAUCUUACCCGAUCCAAAUGCCGAACAACAAACGGUCCACAUUUACCACGAGGAAGAGGGUUAAAACGUGCUCUCCAAUGACAACUCCCAACCCGGAACAGAUUCCAGCCAGGCAGCUAGCAGAGCUCGCUGGGUAAACGGCACAGGCCAUCGUGGGUGCAGAGCUCAGAGCCGGAAAGCAAACAGCUGCUGUAGCCUGAUUUGAGUUAAAAUAGUGUGAGUGUUUAGUCUGGCGCACGGCUUCAGGGGAGAUUGGCAGCUGGGUCAAACAAAGUCCUUCCAUUGGCUCUCUUCCCAGGCAGCUUCUGCUAGUAUUUAGGUACUAGUGCAGUGGAAGGCCCUUUUCUCAGGCAAAACCUAACAUCUGACCGCACCCUCUCUGCUUUUUCAAAAAAAAAAAAAAAAAAAGCUUCUUUUUCCUUCUUUCGUUAAGAUAAAUUCUCCAGUAGACAACCUCUCCCACUAAUUGUGUAUUAGCAAUGUAUUUUAUCUUGAGAGCUGACGCACUGGGCUCUCGACGUGGUGUGGAAAGCAGCCUGUUACAGUGCUGGAUUCAUAAAAGGGUCUUUAUGGUUUGUGAAAGAAUAUCUGUGUGCUUGGGCAGGAAACUUUUUGAUCUGCAGAAAAGCCAGAAGACAUCUAGGAUAUCCUUGAAGAUUAAUCAGAGAACCUUUCAUUCACCCAUAAAGGAGAAUCUGUCAUCACACAUACAGAAGAUAUGCAGACCUGGAGGACAGCACCACACCAGCACAACCACAACAUCCUUAAGUUACACUUGGACUUCAGUUGAACGUAUUCAUUUGACUACAGAGAAACACUGCUAUCAAGUGAUGUGGUUGCUAAAAGAGAACACUGAACAGGUGUUCUCAGUUCUGAUUGUCAUGCUUCCCAGCAGUACGCCCCAUAUUGUCUCAGAUCUGGAGCCGGUGUUGACUGGACACCUUUGGUUCAUGUUUUGCCUUUUUCCUAAGGCUUUACCACUUACUUCCAGGGACGCAAUUGGUGAAGUCAUGUGAAUGUUACUGUGUCAAGAGAGCCCUCAUGGUGCCUCCCAUUGAGUAGAAAGGAAUACCUGGGCUAUUUAUGACUUUGUUGCUUAAAUCUUCUAAUAAAAACUUCUAUUUUGCUAAGCAGAUUUUCGUAUAGCCCUUCAUUCCCAUGAAAUGUAAAAUCAGUUAAUAUAUAAGUCAUGGCAACUGAAUGGGCAAGAAAGAUGCCAGACUUCCAUGACUACCAUGCUUAAUAUGUGAG
ensembl:lncRNA